rnacentral:rRNA from 1 species
GAUGAACGCUGGCGGCGUGCUUAACACAUGCAAGUCGAACGGAAAGGCCCCAGCUUGCUGGGGUACUCGAGUGGCGAACGGGUGAGUAACACGUGGGUGAUCUGCCCUGCACUUUGGGAUAAGCUUGGGAAACUGGGUCUAAUACCGAAUAUGAUCACUUCUUGGAUGUUGUGGUGGAAAGCUUUUGCGGUGUGGGAUGAGCCUGCGGCCUAUCAGCUUGUUGGUGGGGUAAUGGCCUACCAAGGCGGCGACGGGUAUCCGGCCUGAGAGGGUGUACGGACACAUUGGGACUGAGAUACGGCCCAGACUCCUACGGGAGGCAGCAGUGGGGAAUAUUGCACAAUGGGCGCAAGCCUGAUGCAGCGACGCCGCGUGGGGGAUGAAGGCCUUCGGGUUGUAAACUCCUUUCGCUAUCGACGAAGCCACUUGUGGUGACGGUAGGUAGAUAAGAAGCACCGGCUAACUACGUGCCAGCCGCCGCCGCUG